rnacentral:rRNA from 1 species
AGUUCGGAUUNAAGGCUGAAAUUCGCCUUCAUGAAGCCGGAAUUGCUAGUAAUGGCAGGUCAGCAUACUGCCGUGAAUACGUUCCCGGGCCUUGUACACACCGCCCGUCACACCAUGAGAGUUGGGAAUACCCGAAGCCUGUGAGCUAACGUAAGAGGCAGCAGUCGAAGGUAGAAUCAAUGAUUGGGGUGAAGUCGUAACAAGGUAUC